GCAAGUCGAACGGAAGUCGUUAUACUGAUUUUGAUAUGAACGGAGAACUUGUUCAAAGGGACUUGAUGAAGAUUUAUAACAAUGGCUUUAGUGGCGGACUGGUGAGUAACGCGUGAGCAACCUGCCUGUUAGAGGGGAACAACAGUUAGAAAUGACUGCUAAUACCGCAUAUGCCUAAGUAUCACAUGAUACAAUAGGGAAAGGAGCAAUCCGCUAACAGAUGGGCUCGCGUCUGAUUAGAUAGUUGGUGGGGUAACGGCCUACCAAGUCGACGAUCAGUAGCCGGACUGAGAGGUUCAACGGCCACAUUGGGACUGAGAUACGGCCCAGACUCCUACGGGAGGCAGCAGUCGGGAAUAUUGCGCAAUGGAGGAAACUCUGACGCAGUGACGCCGCGUGCAGGAAGAAGGUUUUCGGAUUGUAAACUGCUUUAGACAGGGAAGAAAAAGACAGUACCUGUAGAAUAAGCUCCGGCUAACUACGUGCC
rnacentral:rRNA from 1 species